CGGCGCCCGAGUGCAGUGAAAUUCCGUGAAGAGGGGAGGGGGGCCUGGGAAAGAGAGAGAGAGAGAGAAAGGAAAGAUUUUUCCUUUUUUUUAAAAAAAAGGAAGAGGGAAAGAAGAGAAAAGCGGCAGAAGCUGAGGGGAAGGUUUCAGUGAGGGAGAGAGAGAAAAACGCGGGGCUGGCCGGACCCCUCCUCUUCCGCCACGCGUCGCCCGCCACCGCCUCAGAAUCUCCUCAGGAGCGGCAGCGGCUGCUCCCCUCCCCCUCGCCCCCUUCCUCCCCCCUCGCCCCCUUCUAACCCCCGGACGAGGGACGCGAGGCGGCGCCGCUGAGAGGACGGGAAGGCCCCCGGCGGCGGCGGCGGGGUCGGCUGGAGCGAGGAGGGGCGAGCGCUAGCCGGCUGGCUCUAGCCCGGCAAGAGGAGGAGGAGGAGGAGGAGCACGCCGUCGCCUCCACAGCGGCCGCCCCAGCCUCCCCUCCCCGGACACCGGCGGGGAGAAUGACGGAGCUCCAGUCCGCGCUGUUACUGCGGAGACAGCUGGCAGAGCUCAACAAAAACCCAGUGGAAGGAUUUUCAGCAGGUUUAAUAGAUGACAAUGAUUUAUAUCGAUGGGAAGUUCUUAUUAUUGGUCCACCAGAUACACUGUAUGAAGGCGGCGUCUUCAAAGCUCACCUUACUUUCCCAAAGGACUAUCCACUCAGGCCGCCAAAAAUGAAGUUUAUCACCGAAAUAUGGCAUCCAAAUGUUGAUAAAAAUGGUGAUGUCUGUAUUUCCAUCCUUCAUGAGCCUGGUGAAGACAAAUAUGGCUAUGAGAAACCUGAAGAACGCUGGCUUCCCAUCCAUACUGUGGAAACCAUAAUGAUUAGUGUAAUUUCUAUGCUGGCAGAUCCCAACGGUGACUCUCCUGCUAACGUUGAUGCAGCGAAAGAAUGGAGGGAAGAUAGAAAUGGAGAAUUCAAAAGGAAAGUUGCCCGCUGUGUAAGAAAAAGCCAAGAGACUGCUUUUGAGUGACACUUAAUUCAGCAGCUAGUAGCUUCACUUUUUUUCAGGCACUUGUGGUUACUGCUGAUGGUAAUCCUGCAACUGAUGAUUUCCAAAGAAUCUUGGUGUUGCCAGCUGAAAACUAAACAUGCAACUUUUAAUGUCUCCAAUUGAGGAACAUGGCACUGUUUUUCCUGCACUCUAUCCACCUAAUGCUGGACUUCUGUUUAUACCAAGUUGGCAGACACUGGCUGGAACUGGGCUGCAAUAAAACAUGCCAGUUAUUAAUGCUGACAAAGAGCCUAACAAGUGCCAACAAGGAUUUGCGCAUUUUGAAAACUAAUGGAACUGCUUUAACCUUCAGGAAGAAUUGUAAAGAUGUGUACAUAGCACAACAUGAUCCGGAUAAUAUAUACUGUUCAUGUACAUCCACAAAUACACAUUGUACCAAAUAAUGCUGUCUUGUAGUUAGAAUAAGAAUCGUGUAAAUUCUAAAGAUUUUUAGCAGGUUUUCCAUUUUUCUCUUCUCUCCCCCCCCCCUGGUUUUCCCUAUGAGUCUUUAAAAUUUCUCGUGAAGCAUGUCAGUCUAAAACAAAUUAGGAUUUAAAAAUUCCGUUUUAACCUUUUCUUUUCAGCCAUUGAAGAUUCAUUAAAAUCUCUCACUUUAAUAAAGUUUAAUGCCUUUGUAAUGCUGUCCCUUCCCCCUCACCUUUUUUUUCAGAUUACAUAAAUACAACACAGAUCUAUUACUUGAUUCUAAUGAUGACUUGAGCACUGUCAUCAGGAGGUGCAGUUCCUUCCCUUGCGUUAUGACCCAGCUGUGCUCAUCUCUUGGCUUGGAUGUAGCAAUAAGAUUUUACAGCUGUGGAGCACCCUUGAGCCUGUUAUCUUUCCCAAAAGGGUUGAGAGCAUUUGUUUUGGAAGUGGUCAGCUAAGUAUGUUAGCCCAAUAUAGGAUGAACUGCUUUCUUUUGAUUUCUUGCCUGGUUUGAAGUUGGAUAAAUAAAAGCAUGCAGAGCUGUAGGCUUUCAAGUGAGUUCUGGUUUUGCUAUCAAAUGCUAUUUCCCUUUCCCUCUUCUUCCUCUUUCCCCCCUUUAUAUUUCUUUGCCUUUUGAUCUCCUGCAGGUUUUCCUCACUUAAUGUAUAAAGACAAAUUGCGAUGUAUAUUUUCAUGUAACUUGAUUUUGGAAUUCUGUCACCUUCUGUAGUGAGUUCUUCCAAAAUAUAAAUUUUUCCAAUA